rnacentral:rRNA from 1 species
AGAGUUUGAUCCUGGCUCAGGGUGAACGCUGGCGGCGUGCUUAACACAUGCAAGUCGAACGAUCCUUCGGGAUAGUGGCGGACGGGUGAGUAACGCGUGGGAAUCUGCCCUCAGGAGGGGGAUAACGGCUGGAAACGGCCGCUAAUACCCCAUAUGCCGAGAGGUGAAAUGAAUUUCGCCUGAGGAUGAGCCCGAGUCUGAUUAGCUAGUUGGUGGGGUAAAAGCCUACCAAGGCAACGAUCAGUAGCUGGUCUGAGAGGAUGAUCAGCCACACUGGGACUGAGACGCGGCCCAGACUCCUACGGGAGGCAGCAGUGGGGAAUUUUCCGCAAUGGGCGAAAGCCCGACGGAGCAACGCCGCGUGAGGGAUGAAGGCCUCUGGGCUGUAAACCUCUUUUCUCAAGGAAGAAGACCUGACGGUACUUGAGGAAUAAGCCACGGCUAAUUCCGUGCCAGCAGCCGCGGUAAUACGGGAGUGGCAAGCGUUAUCCGGAAUUAUUGGGCGUAAAGCGUCCGCAGGCGGCCUUGUAAGUCUGUUGUUAAAGCGUGGAGCUCAACUCCAUUUAAGCAAUGGAAACUACAAGGCUGGAGUGUGGUAGGGGCAGAGGGAAUUCCCGGUGUAGCGGUGAAAUGCGUAGAUAUCGGGAAGAACACCAGUGGCGAAGGCGCUCUGCUGGGCCAUAACUGACGCUCAUGGACGAAAGCCAGGGGAGCGAAAGGGAUUAGAUACCCCUGUAGUCCUGGCCGUAAACGAUGAACACUAGGUGUCGGGGGAAUCGACCCCCUCGGUGUCGUAGCCAACGCGUUAAGUGUUCCGCCUGGGGAGUACGCACGCAAGUGUGAAACUCAAAGGAAUUGACGGGGGCCCGCACAAGCGGUGGAGUAUGUGGUUUAAUUCGAUGCAACGCGAAGAACCUUACCAGGGUUUGACAUCCUGCGAACCCCUGAGAAAUCGGGGGGUGCCUUCGGGAGCGCAGAGACAGGUGGUGCAUGGCUGUCGUCAGCUCGUGUCGUGAGAUGUUGGGUUAAGUCCCGCAACGAGCGCAACCCACGUCUUUAGUUGCCAGCAUUCAGUUGGGCACUCUAGAGAGACCGCCGGUGAUAAACCGGAGGAAGGUGUGGAUGACGUCAAGUCAUCAUGCCCCUUACAUCCUGGGCUACACACGUACUACAAUGCUACGGACAAAGGGCAGCAAGCUCGCGAGAGUUAGCAAAUCCCAUAAACCGUGGCUCAGUUCAGAUCGUAGGCUGCAACUCGCCUACGUGAAGGAGGAAUCGCUAGUAAUCGCAGGUCAGCAUACUGCGGUGAAUACGUUCCCGGGCCUUGUACACACCGCCCGUCACACCAUGGAAGUUGGCCAUGCCCGAAGUCGUUACUCCAACCCUUGUGGAGGAGGACGCCGAAGGUGGGGCUGAUGACUGG